AGAGUUGUAUCUGGCUCAGACGACGCUGGCGGCGUGCUAACACAUGCAAGUCGACGGAAAGGCCCUGCGUUUUGUGGGUGCGUCGAGUGGCGAACGGGUGAGUAACACGUGAGUAACCUGCCCUUGACUUUGGGAUAACUUCAGGGAAACUGGGGCGUAAUACCGGAUAGGAGCUCCUGCUGCAUGGUGGGGGUUGGAAAGUUUCGGCGGUUGGGGAUGGACUCGCGGCUUAUCAGCUUGUUGUGGGGUAGUGGCUUACCAAGGCUUUGACGGGUAGCCGGCCUGAGAGGGUGACCGGCCACAUUGGGACUGAGAUACGGCCCAGACUCCUACGGGAGGCAGCAGUGGGGAAUAUUGCACAAUGGGCGGAAGCCUGAUGCAGCAACGCCGCGUGCGGGAUGACGGCCUUCGGGUUGUAAACCGCUUUCGCCUGUGACGAAGCGUGAGUGACGGUAAUGGGUAAAGAAGCCCCGGCUAACUACGUG
rnacentral:rRNA from 1 species